CCAAACUGUUGCCUCGGCGGGGUCUCGCCCCCGGGGGGUCGCAACCCCCGAACCAGGGGCCCGCCGGAAGGACCAACCAAACUUUUUUUUGUAUUCCCCUCCCGGAGUUUUUUUCUUACCGCUCUGAUCAAAAAUUCAAAAUGAAUCAAAACUUUCAACAACGGAUCUCUUGGUUCUGGGAUCGAUGAAGAACUGGGCGAAAUGCGAUAAGUAAUGUGAAUUGCAGAAUUCAGUGAAUCAUCGAAUCUUUGAACGCACAUUGCGCCCGCCAGUAUUCUGGCGGGCAUGCCUGUUGGAGCGCAUUUCAACCCUAGAACCCCUCCGGGGGGUCGGCCCUGGGGACCUCCGGAGCCCCUAAGAGGGAUCCCGGCCCCGAAAUACAGUGGCGGUCUCGCCGCGCCUCUCCUGCGCAGUACUUUGCACAACUCGCACCGGGAGCGCGGCGCGUCCACGUCCGUAAAACACCCAACUUCUGAAAUGUUGACCUCGAAUCAGGUAGGAAUACCCGCUGAACUUAACCAUAUCAAUAAACGGAGGAAUUAAGCGGAGGAA
rnacentral:rRNA from 1 species